AUAUCAAUAAGCGGAGGAAAAGAAACCAACUGGGAUUCCCUUAGUAACGGCGAGUGAAUAGGGAAAGCUCAAGCUUAAAAUCAGGUGCGUAUCGCAUCCGAAUUGUAGCCUCAGGAAUGAAUACAGUUUUGGUGGGUUUCGGUUAAAGUUCCCUGGAAAGGGACGCCCUAGAAGGUGAGAGCCCUGUACAAUCGAAACACCCACCUCUCAACUCUAUUCAAUUCUCAGAGUCGGGUUGCUUGGGAGUGCAGCCCUAAAUGGGUGGUAAACCCCACCUAAAGCUAAAUAUUGGUGAGAGACCGAUAGCGCACAAGUA
rnacentral:rRNA from 1 species